rnacentral:tRNA from 1 species
GCCGAGAUCGCAUAAUCUGGUAGUGCGCUAGCCUGGAAAGCUAGUGGUCGAAAGGCCAUGGGGGUUCAAAUCCCUCUCUCGGCG